GACAAAAAGUGACAGUCACAUUGCAUCAUGUGAGAGCGCUAUUGCCCCAUCUACUGGCUGUCUUACGGUUGUGUAGGCUAGCUAUAUGACGAGGGCUACUUUAACUGUAAACUUAGGUACAAUUCGGUCAAAUGGAGAUAUUGAAGAUGGGCUUUUGUUGCCGUACCUCCGAGCUACGCAGUGAUUAAAAAUGGAACACUAGGCUCCUUGCUCCCUAAAAAAAAAACAUUAGAGUAUCUUUUUCUUCACACCAGUAAAGAAAGCCCGGCAGGGGGGAGAUUUUAGGCACCACACCGGCUCCCAAACGCCUAUAGAAGUCACUCUGUUCUCUACCAUAGACUGUAAUACAGUCAUCGUUCUGUGUCUGUACACACUCGGGACUUAAACACAACACACGGAUCCGAGCAACGAGCUAACGGUCGCAGUACCUGUGACCCAUUUAUUCCAAGACGGCCUGCUCACCGUAGCACAGUGUUGUAAUUUGUAGACCUCCCUAAGCACUCGU